rnacentral:rRNA from 1 species
GACGAAAGCUGGCGGCGUGCCUAAUACACGCAAGCAGAACGCUGAAGGAGGAGCUUGCUCUUCUGGAUGAGUUGCGAACGGGUGAGUAACGCGUAGGUAACCUGCCUGGUAGCGGGGGAUAACUAUUGGAAACGAUAGCUAAUACCGCAUAAUAGUAGAUGUUGCAUGACAUUUGCUUAAAAGGUGCGAUUGCAUCACUACCAGAUGGACCUGCGUUGUAUUAGCUAGUUGGUGAGGUAACGGCUCACCAAGGCAACGAUACAUAGCCGACCUGAGAGGGUGAUCGGCCACACUGGGACUGAGACACGGCCCAGACUCCUACGGGAGGCAGCAGUAGGGAAUCUUCGGCAAUGGACGGAAGUCUGACCGAGCAACGCCGCGUGAGUGAAGAAGGUUUUCGGAUCGUAAAGCUCUGUUGUAAGAGAAGAACGAGUGUGAG